GGGUAGACUGACAGGUGCUUCACUGGAGGGGGGGGGGGAGGUCCCAUGUUAAGGGUUUGUCCACCUUCUGCCUGUCUGUCCUUUGUUGGACAUAUUCGUGCCUAGCAUGCCCCUAUGAGGAAUGGAAAAUGCCAGCCAAGCCCGGAGGGUCAACUCACGAAGGUGCGGGAGGCUGGUUCCCUGUAAAGAGAAUCCCAUCCACUUGGAAGCUGUUGGCUCAACCUGCUUAGAAGCUAAACUCCAACUGUCAGUGUCAUGUGAGAUGCUGGUGGUGAUCAAUGGCCAAAGGGACAGGAGGUAGCCAGGCGUUCUCCUAGCCUCAUUAUCUCUGAGGCCUGUGACACUGUGGAGUGUGUCAUGUAGCUGAGGGACAGGAGUGACUUGCCCUCAGGGAAGGACAGCCUAUGCUCACAGACCAGUCACCACAGGGGCUGAGGCCCGUGAUGACCUCCAUUUUGAGCCACAGAUUGGAUAGUCGCCCCAUUGAAACAGGGUGGACUUAUGUGGAGUUGCUUAGGGCUAGGGCACAUAUCCUACAUUUGUAAGACUCUCAAGUAGACGAGGCCACCCACACCUCUGUGCCUUCAGUUAGGCAAACCCCGAGCUCCUCGUUUCUAUAGCACCUUCCUCCCGCCUCUCCUACAACUUGAGCAGCAAUGUUCAUAAGCUGCUUCCCCUCACCCCAGUGAAAUCCUGCCUCUGUCUCAUUACUCCAGAGCAGUCCUGGUUGUCAGGACCCCCCAUUAUUUCCCAAAAAGCCGAGUCCAGAAAUGGUGGAUCAUGCAAUCACAAAGCACACCCUGCGCUCCACACUGACCUCUGGUCACCGAGUCACCCCCUUUUAAACCCAAGCUCUGUCUGUGCUUUACCUGGGUUCUCGUAACCACCAUAUCUCUGUCCUGCUUGUCAGGGAAAGGGUAUCCAGGCAGACCCAUAAUGAGGCGACUGCAGGCCAACUCUUCAUCCAGUUACCACACAGAAGCCUUCUGCCCUACCCUCUAAAAGGCCAGGACCAGAAUCCACUCACACCCUCUGAGGACCAGAGGACACCUGCCACUGGCCUGAACCCAGGAGCUCUGAGAUCAAGC
rnacentral:lncRNA from 1 species